rnacentral:rRNA from 1 species
GACGAACGCUGGCGGCGUGCUUAACACAUGCCAGUCGAACGCGCCUGUCCUCUGGGUUUCUGGGGGGUGGGUGAGUGGCGAACGGGUGAGUAACGCGUGAGUAACCUGCCCCCUUCUUCGGGAUAACGGUCUGAAAGGGCUGCUAAUACCGGGUAUUCACUGGUCUCCGCAUGGGGUCUGGUGGAAAGGUUUUUUUCUGGUGGGGGAUGGGCUCGCGGCCUAUCAGCUUGUUGGUGGGGUGAUGGCCCACCAAGGCUUUGACGGGUAGCCGGCCUGAGAGGGUGACCGGUCACAUUGGGACUGAGAUACGGCCCAGACUCCUACGGGAGGCAGCAGUGGGGAAUAUUGCACAAUGGGCGCAAGCCUGAUGCAGCGACGCCGCGUGAGGGAUGGAGGCCUCCGGGUUGUGAACCUCUUUCGCCCGUGGUCAAGCCGCGACGUGGGUCGUGGUGAGGGUAGUGGGUAAAGAAGCGCCGGCUAACUACGUG